GACGAACGCUGGCGGCGUGCCUAAUACAUGCAAGUCGAGCGAAUCUUGAGGUGCUUGCACCUCUUGGUUAGCGGCGGACGGGUGAGUAACACGUGGGCAACCUGCCUGUAAGACUGGGAUAACACCGGGAAACCGGUGCUAAUACCGGAUAAUCCUUUUCCUCUCAUGAGGAAAGCUGAAAGUCGGUUUCGGCUGACACUUACAGAUGGGCCCGCGGCGCAUUAGCAGUUGGUGAGGUAACGGCUCACCAAGGCGACGAUGCGUAGCCGACCUGAGAGGGUGAUCGGCCACACUGGGACUGAGACACGGCCCAGACUCCUACGGGAGGCAGCAGUGGGGAAUCUUGCGCAAUGGGCGAAAGCCUGACGCAGCGACGCCGCGUGAGGGAUGACGGCCU
rnacentral:rRNA from 1 species